CUGCCCCCGGACGCCAUUGGUCAAGUCCCGCCUGCCCAAGUCCUGACAGGCCGCGGAGGGCCGAGUGGGCAAGGCCACACAUCUUGGUCUCCAGGGUGGCCAAUGAACCGAUAAUCUUCCAAACACUGUGGGCGGGAUUAAGAGAAAAUUUGGAAGAGGAUUGGGGGAGAGACAUGCCAGAGAGGGUGACAGAAGUGGUUUGGGGCGGCUGACUCUAGGUUUAGGCGGAGAACUGUGUAGAAAGGGGGAGGGGAGAGAAGCUGGGGGCGUAGCGGCGAGGUGAACGGGAAGAAGAGCCCAAGACCCCGAGAGGGAGGGGAGAAUGGACAAAGAAUGUGGGAUUGUGGCCAAGGAAAAGCCCACUCGUUGACAAGCUAACAAGUAUCGGCCUCCAAUGCACCCAGGAGAGUCCAAAAAAAGGGGGAACUGUGAGAAGGACUCUUGUACUGAUUGAAUAUUAAUCACCUCAAGGGCCUAGGCCAACUGCCAUUCACAGAGGGGCAACUGCAGAACCCAAAGUUGCCGUGCCAGGCUGGGGGUGGGGAAGGGAGACCACCUGGCCACACCUCCCGCCUAGGUGACAGUUUAACUGCCUCCGCAUCCCACAUCAGACCUCCCCGUGCGACCCGGCAGCAGCUCCGAUGUGGGGGUGGCUUGCGACUAAGAAGAAACACAUUUUAUUCCGAAUGUCCCAAUCCAGGCCUCCAUGCCAAAUUGUCAACCAGGCUAUUGGCUGUCUGGUAUCCAGGAGACCGACGUCAAAUUUGCACAGGAAAAGGCGGAGAGAAAGUCUACGCGGAGAGAAGGGUAGCAGAAAGAGAAGCGAGGAAUGAAACGCCGGUCACCUGGCCUACCUCUCGCUCCAUUCCUGUGCACUUCAAGAAGUGCUUCCUGGGAAAACAACUGGGUCUCCGCCUUCCCCUCAAAACGGAGAGGCCGGCACUCUGAAACUACCAUAAGGAAGUUAAAUCGCAGUUCACCGAACAGUGGGGUGUUGGCUAAACCAGCCAUGUAGACCAGCUGCGCUGUUGGGGCACAAACUCGCUUUAUGGACGCAAAAUCUCGUCGUGGCUUUUUCCGUCCAACCUGACUUUAUUGCCCCGCUCUGCUCACCUUUUAGAAGGAACAGAAUUGGAAAAGGGUAUUUCUAAAGGCUCAAAGUGUGUAAGAGGAGGAGGGAAGAUGGGUUUGUGAAAUAGGCUGAGGUUGGGAGUGGUCCGGUGACUUGUCUUGUUUAUUGUGUGGAUUUCUAAAACUUGGGCAGCAUUUUUUAAAAAUAGAAGUUUUACUCAA